GCGCACUUUAAAUGCUAUUUGCUGUGGAAUUGUAAAUACGACUGAAGACUUACAGUGAGAUUAAAAGCCCCUGGACCUUGUGGGCGGGGCCACCGGGGACGAGCCGUCCCAGGUUUUUUCGAGUGCACCCUUGCUCCCCCAUCCCUCAUCCUCUUACUGGAGCACGGGACCAUGCAGUGGAAAUAACAGAGCCAAUAAAGACACUGCCAGAAUCCAUCCACUGCCUACGCCUCACCCAGCCACUGAGGGAGAGAAAAAGUGGUGUGGUUGCUGGAAAAAGGGGACUGAGGGAGAGGAAAGAAGACAGGAGACCACCUCUAACGUGUCUACAGCUAUGCAUGGAGGAGGAAGGGAGGAAGGCGGGGUUGGAAGGAUGCAGGCGGCGCGGGCUAAGGAGAAGAUGGAUGAGGGACGGUGAAGAACGGGCGCAGGAUGGAAUGAAGAUGGAGAGACUUGGAUAGCGGGACGAUAAUUCUUGGAGGGAGCAUGUCUGCACCCAUUUGGAACCCCCCCUCACCUGAUAGCUCUUCCAUACACAGUGGAGCUUAGCAACAGGUGCAAUCCUUUCCAGUCCCACAUCGCUUGAGACUUUCUUUGACUACACAGAGCUCAAGAUGCCUCGACUGUAAUCAGACUGGACUGCUUUUCCAUUCGUUUAAAAAAAAAAAAUCAUGCUUGAAUUGAGAAGACCGAAUUCAAACUGGAGUCCAAAUAUGGAGCAUGUGCAUUAAGAAGAAGUGCAAAGUAGACGGAGUAAACUUAGUGAUGAUGGAGAAAAGGCCUCGGAUCUCGUAAAUCAUGGAACAUUUUCAGACCACCGUACUAUGCCGGUUGACUAAUUCAUUGAUCCUCCUUUUCAGAGAUUCCCCCCCCGGCCGUGUGCUGGAACUCGUCCAAACCCACCAGCCUGUAUAACUUGGACCAGUCUACCUAGGCCACAUUUAGAAAACUAUUGCUCCCAAUCAAUUUGUUUCCAAACAGCACGUAGAUUGCCUUGACAUGAAGCCAAAUUCGUUGCGUUUUUAUGGUAAUAGCUCAGUCGUCGAUCCUUCACGGUAAUCUUACUUUUAUUGUCUUUCUUUUCCCUUAUUUUUUUUAUGAUGAAGCAUUUAUGAUCAUGUCUCGCAGGGUUGUCAUCACAUUUUAGUCCCACCAGGUGAGGAUAUGAAUGGCUCACAUGCAUCUGAACUGGAGCAUUUACGUCAAUUCUCAUUGAAGCCCUAGUCGCAUGCCACUUCGUGGCUUGAUUUCCUUGUGCACAGAAAGGAGCUGUGAAGAACUGGAAGAAAAGACAAAUCCGUUACCCACAUGUGCCCCCCGGGGAGGCCCUCUGAAACUGCAUCUUUUCAUGUAUAAUACAGACCUUCAAAAUAAUUGCCCCUUUCAUGUCAAUCCUGUAUCUUUUUUUUCCCUCCAAACCCACACGUACAAAUAAUCACGCUAUCUAUUUUGAAGGAAAGGUCUAGUAGUUGUUGUGCAAAAUUGUUCUGCAGCCGCAAGUUUUGAACGUAGCUCAAAAACGCAGAAAUCUGUGACAAAGACAUUCAUCCCUGCUUCUUAAUCAAUGUAACUUAUCAAUGCUGUCAAAGUGGAUCAGGCGAAUAGCUAUAAGUGGAUUACGACCAAACAGUGUUUGUGAAGCAGCAAAGACAAAGUGUCCCUGAGUUUGUGUAUGAGGGGAGCAUCAUGUGCAAUAUAUUUCUCAUCAUAUCUCCAUGGAAAUGAACUCAAAUGGCAUUUCCCCUUUGGAGCUGGAAAGCCAAAGCAUCUUUUCCUUUUUUUUUUAUUCUACAAGAUUAAUCCUUUUACUGCAUUGAGGCAAAGAGAGGCAGUACAAAUGUGAAUAUUUCAAGAAUACUUUUAGAAGUUCACCAUCAAGAGAUAACAUGAUCCCGCCUGAGGCAAUGAGGACAGCACAAGGACUCAUAGACAGAAUACGCCCCGAAAUAUAAUCCUUUUACUCCCAGCAGUAGUGAACUGACAGCGCUUCCAUAUUGUUUCCUUAUGUGCUUGAAAAAGCCCCAUGUUUGAAUAUAGGUUGUGUAUGUUGUAAGGCUUUGUUUUUAACUCGCACUUUUUAUUAUAACAGUUUUUGAUGAUAGUAUUUUAACCAUUUUUUAAAGUAAAUAAUUUGUGUUUAUCUGACGUUUUAUUUCAUUGAGGAGGAGGAGGAGGAGGAUAGCAUCCACCAUAGACCAGCCCUCCUCUGGGUGGGGGUUACCCCAGCAACGCCCCGGUCUUGUUUGACGCUGCGAGAGGAAAUGGGCUGGAUUCCUCAGGCAGCUACAGCGAACUCAUGUACGUGACAUGCUGAUCUUCCCAUCCGCCCAGAAAAGCCACCGGUAGAUUUUCUCAGUCUUUGAAAACCACUGAAACUGGUGCAGGUCAUUUUUCUGAGAUAGUUACAUUACAGGUGAUUUAGCUGACGAUUUUAUCCAAAGCAACUUACAUUGCAUUUUUUCUUAUUUAAUUUUUAAACCAUGGUGUUUUACAUUUUUGCCCGGGGAGCAAUUAGGGGUUAGGUGUCUUGCUCAGGGACACUUCCGACAUGGCACAUGGAGCAGCUGGGGGCUCGAACCGCCAAGCUUGCGCUUCCCGGAG
ensembl:lncRNA